rnacentral:rRNA from 1 species
GUGGGGAAUAUUGGACAAUGGGGGCAACCCUGAUCCAGCCAUGCCGCGUGAGUGAUGAAGGCCUUCGGGUUGUAAAGCUCUUUUGGCGGGGACGAUGAUGACGGUACCCGCAGAAUAAGCCCCGGCUAACUUCGUGCCAGCAGCCGCGGUAAGACGAAGGGGGCUAGCGUUGUUCGGAAUUACUGGGCGUAAAGCGAGUGUAGGUGGUUGUCCAAGUUGGAUGUGAAAGCCUUGAGCUCAACUCAAGAAAUGCAUUCAGGACUGGGCGGCUAGAGGACCGGAGAGGAUAGUGGAAUUCCCAGUGUAGUGGUGAAAUACGUAGAGAUUGGGAAGAACACCAGUGGCGAAGGCGGCUAUCUGGACGGUUUCUGACACUAAGACUCGAAAGCGUGGGGAGCAAACAGGAUUAGAUACCCUUGUAGUCC